AAUCAAACAAGGAUUCAGGGGAGAAAAAAAAUGUUUAAAGAUAGCAAAUAAAAAAUAUUCACCUAAAAACCAAUCUAAGGAUUUAUAGGCGGAUUUUAAAGUAGAAGAUUUAAAGCCUCAGACAAGGAUAAAGGUUGUCACUGACUCAAUGGAAAAGGACUCAGCACCGGAAACCCAAAUAAGGACACACAAUGGCGUCACUGAGGAACUGGAUUCCUGCUUCCCAGAAUAAAGAAUUGUUGAUCUAUUUCAAGAAUAGGUUGAUAUUUUUAAAUUUAACAGUCUGGUUUUAUUUCAGCAACGUGUUUCCUGGCCAAUAUUCUGUCGCAAAUAAUUGUCGCAUUUAAAGCAAACAGUGAACGUAAAUCAGGCGUUAGCAUGCUAGCUGUGAAGUGUGUGUCACGUACUUACUCUGUCAUUCUGAGGCACUGUAAACGUUUUAUAGUCUUUAACUGAUUUCAGUCGGAUCGUGUCUGCAUCUUCCUCUCCAGUGGCGUCCAUCCUUUAAUCGAAGGAGUAGAACACGGCCUUCGCUCCUUCAGAGCAUCAGCAAUGGUGACGUUGGACGGCGUGGCGUAGAUGUCAUCUCUUGAUGGAGCGGUGAUGACGAUGACAGGUCGACGCUCAGAAUUCUGGACCGCCUCCAUCUCAUUGUUGGGCUGUGAUGAUGGAGGACUCUCCGACACUGUGGAACCAGAAAACAUGUUUGGAAAGAGUGAGCAUCCGUGAAGGCCUCAGAGAUAUCUUCAUUGCGACCUUGAAGCAGACUCGCCUGCAACAACCUGUGGGCGUGAUUUUCACACCAUUGUCCAGUGUAUCACCUUCUGAAUUGGCAAAUGCAGGGUUCUUGUACCAAGCCCAUCUUCCUGAGCCUCGGAGUUCAGACUUUGAACGCAUUAUGUUCAUCUGUCUGUCCCCUUCGUUGUACAAAGUAAAACUUCCAC